GCCCUGGUGGUCUAGCGGUAUGAUUCUUCCUUAGGGUUGUUGAGCAUUCAUCAACUUGGAAGAGGUCCCAGGUUCGAUCCCUGGCCAGGGCC
rnacentral:tRNA from 2 species